UACGUAGGGGGCAAGCGUUGUCCGGAUUUAUUGGGCGUAAAGAGCGUGUAGGCGGCCAUACAGGUCCGUUGUGAAAACUGGAGGCUUAACCUCCAGACGUCGAUGGAAACCGUAUGGCUAGAGUCCGGAAGAGGAGAGUGGAAUUCCGUGGUGUAGCGGUGAAAUGACGCAGAUAUCAGGAGGAACACCGGUGGCGAAGGCGGGUCUCUGGGCCGAUACUGACGCUGAGGAGCGAAAGCGUGGGGAGCGAACAG
rnacentral:rRNA from 1 species